GAUGGAUUAAUGUUGUAUAUAUAUAUUAGAUAAUAGUUUUAGACCAGCCUCCGCUAUCUAUUUCUCAUACAGUAAAGUAAUAAUAUGUAACCAAAUACAAUGUCAUCAAUGAGAAUGACUUUAAUUUCUUUUGGUGGAAUAAUUUAACAAAAUUUUUUUACUUGACUAUAAAUUUUAAAAAUUUUGGUUAAACUCUUUCUGAAAUGGAAUAAACUUUGAGAUUUUUACGAUAUGAUGUACUCAAGUUGUAUGCCAAAUUUAAUAAACCCUCAUCUCUUUUAGAUAUAAUUUCAAAGAGGAAUACUUACUACCUUUGCCUAUCCUUUGAACGUGAUGAAAUCAAGAGCCAAUAUUUCCCUUUAGCCAAAAGCCACCUUUCCUUAGUAGCUUGUAUU
rnacentral:misc_RNA from 1 species